UAAUCCAAGGGGCUGGGACGAGUGAACUUGUUCACGUAGCAAUCGGAAGUGGUUCCAAGAAAAGCCUCUAAGCUUCAGUCAUACGAGACCGUACCGCAAACCGACACAGGUGGGCGAGAUGAGUAUUCUAAGGCGCUUGAGAGAACUCGGGAGAAGGAACUCGGCAAAUUGGUACCGUAACUUCGGGAAAAGGUACGCCCUUGUAGCUUGGCUGAUUUACUUCAGUAGGGCGAACGGGUUGCAAUAAACUGGUGGCUGCGACUGUUUAAUAAAAACACAGCACUCUGCAAACACGAAAGUGGACGUAUAGGGUGUGACGCCUGCCCGGUGCUGGAAGAUUAAAUGAUGGGGUGCAAGCUCUUGAUUGAAGUCCCAGUAAACGGCGGCCGUAACUAUAACGGUCCUAAGGUAGCGAAAUUCCUUGUCGGGUAAGUUCCGACCUGCACGAAUGGCGUAACGAUGGCCACACUGUCUCCUCCCGAGACUCAGCGAAGUUGAAAUGUUUGUGAUGAUGCAAUCUACCCGCGGCUAGACGGAAAGACCCCAUGAACCUUUACUGUAGCUUUGCAUUGGACUUUGAACCAAUCUGUGUAGGAUAGGUGGGAGGCUUUGAAGCGGGGACGCCAGUUCUCGUGGAGCCAACCUUGAAAUACCACCCUGGUUUGUUUGAGGUUCUAACCUUGGUCCGUUAUCCGGAUCGGGGACAGUGCAUGGUAGGCAGUUUGACUGGGGCGGUCUCCUCCUAAAGUGUAACGGAGGAGUUCGAAGGUACGCUAAUUACGGUCGGACAUCGUGAUGAUAGUGCAAUGGCAUAAGCGUGCUUAACUGCGAGACUGACAAGUCGAGCAGGUACGAAAGUAGGACAUAGUGAUCCGGUGGUUCUGUAUGGAAGGGCCAUCGCUCAACGGAUAAAAGGUACUCUGGGGAUAACAGGCUGAUUCCUCCCAAGAGUUCAUAUCGACGGGGGAGUUUGGCACCUCGAUGUCGGCUCAUCACAUCCUGGGGCUGUAGCCGGUCCCAAGGGUAUGGCUGUUCGCCAUUUAAAGUGGUACGUGAGCUGGGUUUAAAACGUCGUGAGACAGUUUGGUCCCUAUCUGCCGUGGGCGUUGGAAAUUUGAAGGGGGCUGCUCCUAGUACGAGAGGACCGGAGUGGAC
rnacentral:rRNA from 1 species